rnacentral:rRNA from 1 species
UUACUACUUGGAUAACCGUGGUAAUUCUAGAGCUAAUACAUGCUAAAAACCCCGACUUCGGAAGGGGUGUAUUUAUUAGAUAAAAAACCAAUGCUCUUCGGGGCUCCUUGGUGAUUCAUGAUAACUUAACGAAUCGCAUGGCCUUGUGCCGGCGAUGGUUCAUUCAAAUUUCUGCCCUAUCAACUUUCGAUGGUAGGAUAGUGGCCUACCAUGGUUUCAACGGGUAACGGGGAAUUAGGGUUCUAUUCCGGAGAGGGAGCCUGAGAAACGGCUACCACAUCCAAGGAAGGCAGCAGGCGCGCAAAUUACCCAAUCCCGACACGGGGAGGUAGUGACAAUAAAUACUGAUACAGGGCUCAUUUGAGUCUUGUAAUUGGAAUGAGUACAAUUUAAAUCCCUUAACGAGGAACAAUUGGAGGGCAAGUCUGGUGCCAGCAGCCGCGGUAAUUCCAGCUCCAAUAGCGUAUAUUAAAGUUGUUGCAGUUAAAAAGCUCGUAGUUGAACCUUGGGCCUGGCUGGCCGGUCCGCCUCACCGCGUGCACUGGUCCGGCCGGGUCUUUCCUCCUGGGGAGCCGCAUGCCCUUCACUGGGUGUGUCGGGGAACCAGGACUUUUACUUUGAAAAAAUUAGAGUGUUCAAAGCAGGCCUAUGCUCGAAUACAUUAGCAUGGAAUAAUAGAAUAGGACGUGUGGUUCUAUUUUGUUGGUUUCUAGGACCGCCGUAAUGAUUAAUAGGGAUAGUCGGGGGCAUCAGUAUUCAAUUGUCAGAGGUGAAAUUCUUGGAUUUAUUGAAGACUAACUACUGCGAAAGCAUUUGCCAAGGAUGUUUUCAUUAAUCAGUGAACGAAAGUUAGGGGAUCGAAGACGAUCAGAUACCGUCGUAGUCUUAACCAUAAACUAUGCCGACUAGGGAUCGGGCGAUGUUAUCUUUUUGACUCGCUCGGCACCUUACGAGAAAUCAAAGUUUUUGGGUUCUGGGGGGAGUAUGGUCGCAAGGCUGAAACUUAAA